UCCCUUCAGCCGGGAGGAUUGGAAGAAGCUCGGAUCUGCGGGGAUGUUGUCGGUGCUUAUUAAAACGAUGAUGCAUAAACCUCGGAGCGGCUUGUUGCGGGAAGCUCCGGGUUCCCGUCGCACUGAGCUGCGGAGCUCCGGGCUCCCAGAGGCCGAGCGGCGCGCAGCAGCUGCCGGGGGGAGAAACGCAGCGAAGGUCCCGCCGAGAGGAGACUGGAUCCAAAUGUUUUUCUUUCCCCCACCUGUUUAUUAUUAUUAGUAUCGUUAUUUGUAAUUUUUUUCCCCCUGCAAGUGGAGCAAUAAUAAUUUCUCCUUUUCCAGUGAGUGGAGCCGCAGAGCGUCCUCUCCAGGUGCUCGUCCUCCGCCUCGGCCCUGUGGACCACAAACAUCAAAACGUCACCGGUCCCGAAGGAGCUCUGUGUGUGUGUGUGUGUGUGUGUGUGUGUGUGUGUGAGGGGGGGAUGAAGUGGUGCCAUGGUGGAUUUGUGCCAGGGGCCACACUCUGACCUUUAACCCUUCCUGGCACCACAGAUCUGGAAGAGAGCCCACCCCCCAAAGGUCCCGGACCAGCGCAUCCCGUUUGUUGACCAGUAUGACCAGUUCGUCCAGCAGCAGCUGCUCUCGUCUCUUCUGGGCUUCGGUUUUCUGCCAGUCUGCAAAAAUCAGAGGAAGCUUCAGACUUUUGACCCCCGAAGGAAGAAAACGUUGCGUCACACUGAGUGGAGAAAAAAAACUGCAUCUUUAAAGUCGUCUUUAAAGACAGAUUCAAAAGUUCAGGAGUUUGAACGGUGAAGGCGCGGGUCAAAGGUCGUCCUGUUGGACCCAGCUGAGGAUCAGUGGAGACGCACUCUGCUCUGAGCAAACAUCCUUGAAGCGUAUUGUCACGGCGAUGUGCAGCUUUGACGCGGGUGGAGAUACAAGGAUCCCACAGGACCAUGCUGCCACUGUGACAACCACUGAUCAGGUAUUGAUCAGAGAACUGAAAACGUUUGAUCAAAAGGAAAUACUCGUGUUUCAGCCUGAAUGAAGACAUUAUCAAGUCGUGGUGAUGAUUUGGGUGAAAACUGAAAAUAAUGAAUUUCCUGAUCAGUUCCUUUAAAUAAACAAGCAGGUGAGGCCCCCCUGCCUCCCCUCCCCCCUGACUCUAGCCUCAGUUCUCUAGGGACUUUCCAGGAAGGGGCCCCACAGGGCCCAGGUGGGACCCUGAUCCAAAUCCCCUCAGCCUCCACUAGGAGGGGGGGCUACCUACAGGGGAGCACCCACUUCCCCUGGGGCUCAAAUAUCCGCCUCGGCUCUAUGUUCAGCCGCCACUGGGGGCAGCGAUUCGCCCUCCCCCCAAAACAUCAUCACAACGUUUCUGUCCGAUUUAAACAAAUCCUCCGCAUGUUUCUCCAACACACCCUGAUCCGACGUCGCCUCGGCUGAAGAGCGCCGACGUCGGAGUGUGCAGAUUUAUUUGGCUGCUUUGCAGCUUAAGGAGAGCAGGAUAUCUUCAGCUUCUCUAAAGCCCUACACACACACACACACACAUCCACACACACACAUAUCCCAGAGAGAAUCCAAACACAUCUGAAGCACCGCGCUGCUUCUGUAGGCUAACUUCUCUCUAUCAAUAUUGAUCCCACAGGAAUAGGAAUGUUGUGAAUUGUCAGUCCUAAAAUACGAGAGCUUUAUUAAAAAUAAAUAUCCAC